GAGAGGAUCUCGUACGCAGCAGGAGCCCGGGUCGAUUUCCCUGAGAUCUGCGAAAGAAAGAGGGGGUUCUGGAAAAAGUAGGAUCCUGAGUUGGAUCUUUCAGCGCAUGAUCACUUCUCAUCCGAUCCUGAUUGAAAAGUCCCGCCUUGGGACUUGUCUGCGUGUGAGGCUCCUUCUGACGUUCUCCUCCCCACCCUUCAGUCCCUUUUUCUCUCUGCAGCUAGAAAACGAUCGCCAGCGACAUCUUCCAACCAGCAGGCACGGCAAUGAAGGAUGUCAACUCCUUAGAGGAGGUGGCUUGAAAGAGUAGUAGUAGGAAGAGGCCACUGACUUCUGUAGGGCAUGGAUUUCAAAGCAACUGGAUGUGUUCUUCCGCCUCCUUUUUAUAUAUUAAGAAGCCAGAAACGAUACGAUAUAUUCUAAGCCAGGGAAAUUUAAGAAUCCAGCCGGUUGGACUGAUUCAAAACAAACCGUCUCUCACUAGCCCCCCUCCCACUGAAGCUGUUUCCCCGGAGAAAUUUGGAAAACGCCCUUCAGAGUAAAAGUAAGAUUGAUCCAAACUGUAUGAUCACUUAAUCAAACAACUGGAUGAUUCUCGUGGGCCUUUACCGACGGCGUAGAUUGAAGGCGAUUUCCCCUUUUGAAAGGGGACUUCUCCAGCCCCAUGAUCAUUUUGGUUGCCUUUUCCAGCUCUACGAUUUCCUUUUGGAGAGCUGCUGCAUACUGGGUUGACAUCUUCAUCAGCUAUCCACUGUGACCUUAAGGUCACAAUCCUGGUCAAUCACCACUAGUUCAGACUCCACUAGCAUAUAUGUGAAAUUAGGGGGAGGGGGUUGCCUCAAUAUGCAUCACUUUAUAUUUGUUUACACUGAAUUGUGUUUGCCGUUGUACUGCCUAUUCACUCAGUUUGGAGAUAUCUUUUGGAGCUCCUCACAGUCCACUUUUGCUUUUCCCACCCUGAACAAUUUGGUAUCAUCAGCAACCUUGGCUCCCUUAGUGCUCACCCAUAACUCUAUAUCAUAUUUAUGAACAAGUUAAAUCACACCUCUUAAUACUGAUCCUUGGGGGACUCCCUCCAUCGGGAGAACAACCAUUUCCUUAAGCAGGAACAGGAUGCUUACCUCUUAAGCUUACCGAUUAAUAAGGUGAGCUGUCCUAUUAUCCCAUGACUGUUAACUUACUUGGGAGUCUUUAGAGAGGGGCUUUAUGAAAAGCGUUUUGAAAGUCUUUAUACAUUGUCACCUGGAUCUUCUCUACCUAUAUGCUUGUUGAUACUUUCCAAGAACUCUUAAAGGUUAAUGAGGCAGGACUUUCUCUUGUAGAAGCCAUGCUGAUACUGCUUCAGCAAGACUUGUUCUUCUAUAUGCUUGUUAGUGCUACAUUUAAGAAUGCUUUCCACCAGUUUUUCUGGAACAGAUAUUAAGCUAACCAACCUGUAAUUUCCUGGAUCCCAAUUAGUUUCCUUUUUUAAAAAUGGGGAGAACUCCUGGAGGGCCAGAAGCUCUCCAUCCCUGAUAGGAAAAGAAGGAUCAGAUAAAAUGAUCCAUGUACUCCAGCAUUCUGUUUUUCACAGUGGCCCAACCAGAUGCCUUCAGGAAGUCCAGAAGCAGAGCUUAAAGACAAUAGCCUUCAUCCACUAUUGAUUCGCAACUAUUGGCAUACAGUGGCAUAUUGCCUCUGAACAUGGGGCUCCAUAUAGCCUACUGUGAGAUUAAUAGACAUUGAUAGACCUAUCCUAUGUAAGCUAAUGGCAUCACCACAUCUUGUGGCAGCAAAUUUAAUAAAUUUGUUAGGU